UACGUAGGGUGCGAGCGUUAAUCGGAAUUACUGGGCGUAAAGCGUGCGCAGGCGGUUUUGUAAGCCAGAUGUGAAAGCCCCGGGCUCAACCUGGGAAUGGCAUUUGGGACUGCAAGGCUUGAGUGCGGCAGAGGAGACUGGAAUUCCUGGUGUAGCAGUGAAAUGCGUAGAUAUCAGGAGGAAUACCGAUGGCGAAGGCAGGUCUCUGGGCUGACACUGACGCUCAUGCACGAAAGCGUGGGGAGCAAACAGG
rnacentral:rRNA from 2 species